UUUAACACAGGAGUGGUUCAGUCUGUGGAAUGUUAAGGCAAUGGUAGUUGAUUUGAUUUCUUUGUUUCUGUGUGUUUCUGUGUACUAAAAUGCAGUUGACAGCGGCUAACAUCUUGUUGUGAAGGUUCUGCAUCAUUUGAUAAGUGCUGUAGAGGCUAAUGUACAGUUUGACAACCCCCCCCUCCGAUAUCAGCCAUGGCACCAAUAGGAAAUGUGACCUCCAUAGACAACCUGUCACCAUCUUACUCAGCUACCAUGGCACUAUACAGCGUAACCUCCGCACAGUAUGAACCAACGUUUUACACAACACUCGCCCCCACCUCAGCAGGAAAUGAAUUAAGUGAGCUUGCGAAGUGGCUGAUACCAGUUGUGAUUUCGGCUUUGGGCGUUGUUGUUGGAAUCGUGGGACUCGUAAUACGUAAGAAACGGUGCUGUUCAAAAAGAGGUAAGAACUAUAACCCCAAGUCCCUAGGCCUUUGUACUAGGAACCAUCCUCAGUCUUUUAACCCUAACUUUCCAGAGUGAUUUA